CCCCNUCGGGAACUCUGAGACAGGUGCUGCAUGGCUGUCGUCAGCUCGUGUUGUGAAAUGUUGGNNUAANUCCCGCAACGAGCGCAANCCUUAUCCUUGUUUGCCAGCGAGUAAUGUCGGGAACUCCAGGGAGACUGCCGGUGAUAAACCGGAGGAAGGUGGGGACGACGUCAAGUCAUCAUGGCCCUUACGAGUAGGGCUACACACGUGCUACAAUGGCGCAUACAGAGGGCAGCAAGCUAGCGAUAGUGAGCGAAUCCCAAAAAGUGCGUCGUAGUCCGGAUUGGAGUCUGCAACUCGACUCCAUGAAGUCGGAAUCGCUAGUAAUCGUGGAUCAGAAUGCCACGGUGAAUACGUUCCCGGGCCUUGUACACACCGCCCGUCACACCAUGGGAGUGGGCUGCAAAAGAAGUAGGUAGUUAACCUCGGGAGGACGCUA
rnacentral:rRNA from 1 species